rnacentral:misc_RNA from 1 species
GGUCGUGUGUGUGUGGCGGCUUCUAUUCCGCCCGUGCUGACUUGACUCCUCCAGCGACUGCAGUUCGCAGCUGGAAUAGGGAAGCGCUUCCUGCUGCUCCACAACACGCACACUUUGUGAUAGCCGGUUAUUUAUGAAGGCGACUUUUUCGUCAGCUAUCAGAUGGCUGCCAAACGCUAUCUUCCGGCGACAGUGCGUCCAUUUUCCAGUGCCUCCUCCCCCGCAGCAGACCAUCGCCAUUUGGAGGCAUUUCAUCGAGAAUAUAUGUAGAUGUAAGUCAAGUCUAGUGUCAGAUUUCUAAAGGAAAACGAUUCGAAAUGUGUCCGUCAAAAUUAAUUGUGUGUAUACUCCUGGUUUCGGUAAGCGCCGAGUCUGGCUCGGAAUCGCAGGCGACCCAGCUGCAGGUGCCAUCGACGCCCAGUCGCAAGGAGCCCAGUCCAGCGGACUUUCAGUUCCUGAUCACCGGCGGCUAUCGGCCGGAGACCAACGACCUGGUCAAGUACGCGGUCAUGUUGCGAACGGGAAAGCCGAAGAAGUUCUUCGGGGACAACCACCAAUGCGCGGGCGUGAUUUUCAGUCAGCGGGCCAUUCUCACGGCGGCCCAUUGCAUGUUCUACAAGCAGCAAAAGCUGAAGCCCAAGCAGUUAAUGGUCGUUGCGGGGACUCCCAAGAGGCUGGUCAAGGGCGUUACAACGCAAAUUAUGGAAUCCGAGGUGGUGCUGCCGCAUCCCAAGUACAACAAGAAUGCGCACAAGUACGACAUCGGCCUGAUCCUGAUGAAGAAGGAUCUCAGUCUGGGCGCUGCCGUUGCCACUAUGUCCCUGUACAACAAGGCUCCGGUCGCCGGCGUCAAGUGCUCCAUCGUCGGCUGGGGCACGAUCUUUCAGCAUGGCCCACUGCCGGAUGAGGCCAUCAACGCCGAUGUGGAGAUACUGCCGGACAGCUUCUGCAAGAAGCUGGCGGAAUGGUCCAACGUGGGCAUGCUCUGCGCCCACAACAAGGACAACUCCGAUGUGGACAGCUGCCAGGGCGACUCGGGCGGGCCGCUCAUCUGUGACAACAUGGUCACUGGCAUCGUGUCCUUUGGCAUAGGUUGCGGCGAGCCCAAUUCGGCUGGGGUCUACACCGAUGUCUACCACUUCCGGGAUUGGAUCACCAAGAACUCCUGCCCACUGGGCACACGACCUGCGUGGACGCUGUUGCUGCUGCUGCUCCUGGUGCUGCUCGGUGAGCCGGCUAGUGCAACUAGUUAACCUGCCAGCCAGCCAGACAGCCAACCAGCCUGCAAAACCUCCGAGCCUGCAUACGACUAGCCAAAAUUGACUAAAACCAGCGGGCAUGACCUGUCAUCCAUGGAUGUGGAUGUGCUUGUGGAUGUGAUGGCAGGCAGCGAAGGCGGUUGCCACACGAGGCGAUGACGAUGGCGAUGGCGAUGGCAAAUGGCGAAUUGUGGUGCAUGCCGCACCAUUACCCGCGCACACGUGCACACAAACGCACUUGCCGUUGGGUUGGCGCACGGUUUAUGGUUACGCUGAUGCAGAUCCGCAGCCACUGUUUGUGACAGCAAUUAUCGCAUCACCACCGACGACCCUGCUCCCCCCUGCUCCCCUGGUGGCCGGCCACAGGGCACACGCAUGGCAGCAGGCAGCUGGCAGCAGGCGGCAGGCAGCGAAGACAAUAUGCAACAAUUCGCGCUGGUUAGUUUGGGCACUCGCCAACUGUUGAUUAGGCCAAUUAGCGGCAGCCAAUUGUCGGCCAAUGGUCUGGGACUGCUUCUGAUAGCGGCGUGUGGCCUUCUGGAUGCCAGAUGACCAUGGACAACGAGCCCCAAACGAAUCUCGGUUUGAAAUCAGUGCGGAAGCAUGUUGAUUUGUUAUCAGCAAUGCAAUUAGUAAUCGCACACGCACACUCCCAAUCACUGGCACAUAAACGCACGCUGGCAAAGCGAUGGACAUGGAGGCGGAGAUGGAGACGGAGUCCUCAGCCACACAAGUCACGAACGUGUCCCGUACUCAGAGUAGGACCCAGGACCCAGGACCCAGGACCCAUCCAGGCUCCAAGCAAGCUCUGCCUCGCCGCCAGACGACAAAACAAUACUGAAUUGAUGUGGGACUCCGAGGGACGAGCCCCAGCUGACUACCCCAUCUUGCCCAGAGGCAGCCGACCAGACCAGACUAUGCCAGACCAGACUAUGCCAGAGCAGACCAGACCAGACCAGACCAGAGACAUGCUUACAGACAUUCAAACGACAUUCGCAAUCAGUUGUCUGAUUGCCUGAUUGCGGAGCGCCAUCCGGAGUGCAUCCAGUGACCAGAGGUGACCCACAAGUGAACAGGAAGAACUGAAAUGGGAAGGGCGUCUUGGAGUUGGCAAACUGUUUCAUUUCAUCUUCACAUUUCCACCACGUCGACCAGUCUGGUCGUUCAACUCCGCUGGAACUGAACGCGUUGAACAGCCGGACGGAAUCCGAAUCCGAGCCGUACAAGCGGCUUAGUUGCCGCGCAGAGGGAUACGCGCCUGACAAAUCGACGGCUAAGCUGCAACGCCAACACGUCAACCGCAGGCACGGUCGUUCCACCAGGACCACCAGCACCAAGACGACCACCAUCCAAGCAGCGAGGAGCAGGAGCACGCGUCCCAGACCCAUCCAAAACCUCGGUUGAGCAGAGCCCACCGAAAUCACUAUCAAUUUGCGUUUGUAAAUACAUUUUAAUGGCAUUGCAAAGUGAGGCUGUGCUGAUCCCUGAGCAGCGCCUGGCUAACCCA